rnacentral:rRNA from 1 species
UACACUCCUGCGGGAGGCAGCAGUGGGGAAUAUUGGACAAUGGGCGCAAGCCUGAUCCAGCCAUGCCGCGUGAGUGAUGAAGGCCCUAGGGUUGUAAAGCUCUUUCACCGGUGAAGAUAAUGACGGUAACCGGAGAAGAAGCCCCGGCUAACUUCGUGCCAGCAGCCGCGGUAAUACGAAGGGGGCUAGCGUUGUUCGGAUUUACUGGGCGUAAAGCGCACGUAGGCGGACUAUUAAGUCAGGGGUGAAAUCCCGGGGCUCAACCCCGGAACUGCCUUUGAUACUGGUAGUCUUGAGUUCGAGAGAGGUGAGUGGAAUUCCGAGUGUAGAGGUGAAAUUCGUAGAUAUUCGGAGGAACACCAGUGGCGAAGGCGGCUCACUGGCUCGAUACUGACGCUGAGGUGCGAAAGCGUGGGGAGCAAACAGGAUUAGAUACCCGUGUAGUCC